AUGGUUUUAUCUGGAGCAUUUUUCGGCAAAACACCUCUGCCGGCCGGAGGAAUGUGCGGAGUGUCACCCUGUUGAUCGAUAGAGCCUUUGAUGGUGUGGCGUUGACAAGCAACAACUGGAUUCACGUUAGUGCGAGCUACAUCGCCGCCUACAAUGGAGAUGUGAAGUGGGAAAUUGCAGGUACAUUAAUUGAACUAAACUUAAUUUUUUUCUCUUUUAAAUCAUAACAUUCAAUAAUUAUAUUAGAAAUGUUUGAGAGAUUGAGUUGAGUUACUCAUCCAAAGUUCAACUUGAUCAAUGAGUUUAAAGUUCAAAGUCAAUCCAAGUACUCCAACCAAGUUUCAUCCUAAGGUUAACAUUUGAGUACUGUCCCAAUCUAACGCUCAAAUAAAUAUGUAUAUAUUAAGUUCUCGAUGUAUUAUCUUAUAUAGAAUUUAUUAAAUAUUUUCGAAAGUUAGAGAAUAUAAAUAGAUAUAAAUUUCGAAAUUCAAGAAUUUAAUUAAGAAAUUAUGAUCUACCUAGAAAUGGGUAUUUUUAUACGCAAUAAAAAGAUUAUAUAUAUGAUAUUAAUUAAAGAAUUACUGAAAAAAUAAUAUGUGUGGGUUAAUGAAAUGGAAUGAUCAAAAUCUAAAAUGUAAUGGAGAUUAAGGGUAAAUUUAAUUAAUUUUCAGGAAUGUUGUACCAUGAAAUGACACAUGUGUGGCAAUGGAAUGGAAACGGGAUGGCACCGGGGUGGUUGAUCGAAGGUUUUGCAGAUUACAGACGACUGAAAGCAGGUACAUUCCGGGGAAUUGGGUGGCGCCCGGAGGCGGGUCAAGUUGGACGGAAGGU
rnacentral:lncRNA from 1 species